CGCCCCGGCACAAAGGUGCAGAUACGCAAAUGAGCGGGCGCGGGGAGGGAUGAGGAAGGCCGUGGCGACCACCGAUCCGAUCCGAUCCGAUCCGAUCCGAUCCGAUCCGAUCCGAUCCGAUCCGAUCCGAUCCGAUCCGAUCCGAUCCGAUCCGAUCCGAUCCGAUCCGAUCCGAUCCGAUCCCUUUCUGCGGGAGGUGGGCAGCGGUGUCCCCUCGCCGUGUCUGCUGUGUGCGCAAUGAGUGAGUGGGGAGGAAAAAGGGAAUUGCCUGUACUGUAGCUUAGGGUAAUUUGAGGAGGUUUGGCAUCGCCUCAGCCAUUUUGUUGUUUAGGAAGCGGGAGCAGCUUCCCCCAUCCCUGUUGCCAUGUAUCUUUUUCCCAGGUGCUGACUUUUCCCCUGAGGAGAUGCUGCCCUAUUUGGGAUCCCCAGAGACUGGGUGUACAAGACGGACUGCCGUGAUUAUUUUUGGGUUCAACGCAGAUUUCCUUGAGCAAUGGAGCAAGCGUGCCAAGAGACACAGUUCCUGCGCUCUGCUCGCCCUGGGCCCUGCCAGGAGCCUGCACCGCUGAGGGGACACCGAGGGAGCCCGGUGAAAUGCCCCAUCACCAGCCGAGCUGCGGCUGGCCCCUGCACCAGCCGUGCGGGGAGCAGCACUGACAGGAGCACGGCGAGAUGCUCCACACUGAGGCUGCUGGAGCCUGGGAGUAAACAAGUUAUCCAGCUCCCCCUGGCCCUCCGUUCCCUGAGCAGAUCCAGAAUUUGGGCUGCGGGUGACAAAAUGCUCCAAAGCCUUUUUGGAAACCUGGGCCAGUCUGUGAGGGAGAGUAAGGUUUGUUCCCACCAACAAGUGGCUGCAGAGGCCCCAUCUCUCCGGUAAGAAGCAAGAGGUGACUCCUGAGUAGCAUAGCCCGGAAACAAAUGCCUGGUGGAAAAGUGGAAGAAGCUGACACUGGAGCUUUUCCUUUUUGUUUCCAUGUUGUCCCUGGGAUAGUUGCGGAAAAAGCAAAAGGUGGCUUUUCUGGAAAAGGCACAGUUAUGUAAUCUCUCCUUGUUUUCCUGUAAGAAAAUAAACAGCACAGCUCAACCAGAUUCGAAUGAUUGGCUGCAAUUACCUUGUGUAAUAUUAUUUGUGGUGCAUUUUGGGGAAGGACUGGUUUAUCUUAGUCAACCUAUAAGCCUUAUUUUAGAUAUCGAAAAGCUCAAUUUUAAAAUAUAAAUGUGAUUUUAAAGGUAAUUAUUCUUGUCCAUGAACAUGACAGCAAUUUAAAGCAAAUCCUUUAAGAUGUCAGAAAAACAAUUAUCAGAUAAUUUAUUAGCACCUCAAUAAAAGCAUGUUCUGAGAAUGAGGAGUUUUGUUCUUUUUGACUUGCAGUUCAAACUCAGCAAGGCUGAAUCAUAACAUUCCCUAAAUCCACCAUGCCAGUAGGGCUAAAUCCUCCACUUCAGAAAGUUCACAUUUUGAGGCAAGUGUUCAACAUGGAAACCAGAGUUCAGCAAACCCUCACCCUUUCCAGCAUGGAAAGUAAGAGAUUGGGCCACAUUUUCUCUCUCUCUCUGCUCCUCUUGAAGUACCGUUUUUUCAUUGCUUAAGUGCACAAGCUGACUUGAAAUCAAAUUGUACCUCUCAAAUAGCAAACAUUAAGCUCGCUUCAGGCUACUGAUGCAGCACCACAAUUUGUCAGCACCUUGCAGAGGCACCGCAGUCUGGGAGCUGCAGCGCCAGUCUGGGAGCCAGCACCCCGCUGGGGCAGACCCUGAGGGCUGUGCUGGGCCGUGAGCCUGCGCUGAGCAGGGAAGAGCCUCCUGCACUCCCCUGUCCCUCCACAGCGACAGGAGCAGGGGCAGGCUGGAAGCUUUUGCAAUGUUUUCAGUUGUGGGGAGACUUUUAAAAAUUACAGAAGACAGCUCCUUGUUGCUUGAAUCUUUGAUGUGGGUACCAAGCAAUGACUCAAGAAGCAACAGGGCUUUGGUGUUUUAAGCAAAAAAUUUUUGGAACUCAUGGCUUUAGUCAAAAUGGUGAAAAUCACAGCAGCUGGCUAACAGGAAGGCAGGGAGAGUGAAAGCAGCUGAAUAAAGAGGAGGCUGUUUAUGACCCAGCCUCCCCGACUCUUGCCAAGGACUGUGUUUUUCUUAAAGAAGCUGUGGUAAGCACUGGAGGGGUACUGCUGAGAACUUGGAGGGGUUCUGUUUUGGCAUUAUUUUUAGCAUAUUUUAUGCUUUUAACAUUACAUCAUGUGUUGUAUUUGCACUUCAGCUUGCUAGCCCCUUUUUGU